rnacentral:snRNA from 1 species
GUGCUUACUUUUGCACACAUAUACUAAAUGGGAAUGAUACAGAGAAGAUUAGCAUGGCCCCUGUGCAAGCAAAUUCAUAAAGUAUUCCAUAUUUUU